UGGGGAAUUUUGGACAAUGGGCGAAAGCCUGAUCCAGCAAUGCCGCGUGUGUGAAGAAGGCCUUCGGGUUGUAAAGCACUUUUGUCCGGAAAGAAAUCCUUGGCUCUAAUACAGUCGGGGGAUGACGGUACCGGAAGAAUAAGCACCGGCUAACUACGUGCCAGCAGCCGCGGUAAUACGUAGGGUGCAAGCGUUAAUCGGAAUUACUGGGCGUAAAGCGUGCGCAGGCGGUUUGCUAAGACCGAUGUGAAAUCCCCGGGCUCAACCUGGGAACUGCAUUGGUGACUGGCAGGCUAGAGUAUGGCAGAGGGGGGUAGAAUUCCACGUGUAGCAGUGAAAUGCGUAGAGAUGUGGAGGAAUACCGAUGGCGAAGGCAGCCCCCUGGGCCAAUACUGACGCUCAUGCACGAAAAGCGUGGGGAGCAAAACAGGAUUAGAUACCCUGGUAGUCCACGCCCUAAAACGAUGUCAACUAGUUGUUGGGGAUUCAUUUCCUUAGUAACGUAGCUAACGCGUGAAGUUGACCGCCUGGGGAGUACGGUCGCAAGAUUAAAACUCAAAUGAAUUGACGGGGUCAUAGCUG
rnacentral:rRNA from 1 species